ensembl:lncRNA
UCCUGAGUUGCCAGUAUGAAAAGUAAUUACUGCUUUUAAUUAUUAUUUCUGUUGUAAUAUUUCCAGAGGACAAAGGAAAGGUUUUAUGCCAAACCUUGGUCUUCAUAGAACUUGUCAGCUGACAUAGGGUUACCAGAAAGCUGAAUUUGCAAACUCUGAUGGCAGUGUCAGCAUGGAGCAGCCCUGGAAUUGAUAAGCAACUUUCUUAAGGCUUCAGAAGAACUAAAAAUAACUGGGUGAAAAAUCUGAAAGGCAAAGCUGCUCUAUCUGCCAGCAUUCUAAGGAGACAGGAUCCAGCUCAAUCAGAAGAGAGUGUAUCUCUGCCCUUCUGGAUGAUUAAAGCAAACUGGCAUCUUGUAUCAGUUUGGGAGCUAGAGCCCCUGGAUUGUCGGAUGCUCAUAGUUAAUAGACUUACAUUUUUCUUCUUCAUCCAUUAACAUUAUUCCUGUGAACACCUAUGCUUCUGUGUAAAAAUGAAACUGCCCUUAAAUUAUGCUUGGUCUUCACUUUCUGUAUCUAAAGUAAAUAAUAAUAAUAAACUAGUAAAUUUGAA